rnacentral:tRNA from 2 species
GCGGGUAUCGUAUAGUGGCUAUUACGACUGGUUGCCAAUCAGUAAAGACGGGUUCGAUCCCCGUUACCCGCUCCA